UUCGUCGGCUGGCGACGCGAGGAGCUCACGGCGGAGCUCCAGCGCCAUGGCUCCGGCAGGAGACGUGGCGCACGGCGGCGACGGCGGCUCUCCUCAGGAGGAUCUCGGGCAUUGAGAGGUUGGGCUGUGUGCUGCCCCAAGGACAGAGCCCACCGACUGCUAGUCAUGGGCCACCACCACCACGCCUUCGACGGGAUACGACCUCCACCACUCCAGCGAGCAGGAGCAUCGUGGUGGCUGCGGUCUAUUGAAAUCUUAGUUUCUUCAUCUUCUUUGAGAUUAUGUUUUGUUUGCAUCUGAUAAUUGGGAUGACCUCCUUUCUUUCAGGUUUGUACUGUUAAUUAAGAUGAACUUGAGUGACGAGGAUGAUUUAGAAAAUUAUAUCUUCUGACCAGAUAAAAUCAGUGUUGCCGAUCUGAGUUGAUUUUUUUGAUAAAGGGAGCUUUAAGAUGUUAGUUGAUUUGGAAGAUUAUGUCUCUAGACCGGAUAAAAUCUGUGCUGCUGACGUGAGUUGAUUUGGAAGAUUAUGUCUUCAGACCGGAUAAAAUCAGUGUUGCUGAUGAAGUUGGCAUGCAUGCUGUCUGCAAAAAUCGGUAUGCUAUCCCCCAAGGAAUUCGAGAAGGGUUACCGAACCAACUUCCAGAAGCUUUAGACAGACUUUGACUUCUACAAAUGACGCAACAAACUGUUAAAGAGGAUGCUUUAUUUCAUACGGGUGACAAUUAUUAACACUAGAGUUGAAUUUGUGGACAGUCGCCUCUCACAGUAAUAUCCUUGUAUAUUGGUGCUCCUAUAGUGUGCACAUUCAGUCUCAUCGGUGUUGUUAAGCUACUUGCCUGUACAAUUCCAUGGAGCUCGAGUGUCAUGGGAGUUGAUUCCCUGCAAGAGAGAAGAAUUCAAAAGGGAGAGAGCAGAGAAGAAGGAAAAGGAUAGGGCGGCGGGGUCGUGGGUACAUGCGCGCACUAAAGGAUGCAGACGAAUGGCUCGGGCAGGACCACAGGAGACGUGGUGCACGGCGGCGGCGGCUCUCCUCGGGAGGAGCUCUGGCGUUGAGAGAGGUUGAAGAGAAUAAGUAAGGCCAAUGUUUGAGCAGGAGAGUGAAAAGAUCCAAGAGUGAUACAUCCAAGCACUUGAUUUGAGUCAAACUUGGUUUGCUGUACAGAAUUCCACCGUAUUUGUCCACACAAAUAGUUCUUGAUAUUUAGUUCAGAUUGUUUUUCUCCAUAGUUCAGUGUCUACAUCUGUAUUCUCCUAAUAUAGUCAUACUGUCCAUUUUAUAAAGUGCAAAUGUACUUUGGCUAAUUGAUUUUAGUAGA